rnacentral:lncRNA from 10 species
AUCAGCCCCGGCGCUCUCUCAUCCCUUCUCUCUUCCUUGGUGCUUCUUUUUCCUGCUCGGUGAGUUUGUUUGUUUGUUUGUUUUUGAGACAGAGUCUCACUUUGCUUCCCAGGCUGGAGUGCAGUGGUGCGAUCUCAGCUUACUGCAGCCUCCGCUUCCGGGGUUCAAGCGAUUCUCCUGCCUCAGCCUGCCAAGUAGCUGGGACUACCGGCGCCCACCACCACGCCUGGCUAAUUUUUGAAUUUUUAGUAGAGAGUGGGUUUCACUAUGUUGGCCAGGCUGGUCUGGAACGCCUGACCUCAAGUGAUCCGUCCGCCUCGGCCUUCCAAAGUUCUGGGAUUACAGGCGUGAGCCACCGCGCCCGGCCUGAGUGAGUCUUAAUCCGUGGCCAUCUGCGUUCCUGCAGGCUUCAUCUGGCCCUAUGGUCCCCUGGCAUCAUGGCUGCCCUCAGAUCCCUUGUGAAGCCCAAGAUCGUCAAAAAGAGAACCAAGAAAUUCAUCCGGCACCAGUCAGACCGAUAUGUCAAAAUCAAGAUGAGAAGAAUAAUGUCUGGGGUGAAGGUGAAGCACCCAGCCCAAGACUCAGCAGCCAGGAAGUGGCCCAGCGCUCUUUAUACCACGGGUGCAGGAAUUCACACAGAAAAGUGGAGGCCAAGGCGUGAGAAUUCCUCAAUGACUGCCCUCUAAAGGAAGAGAUCCAAAGAAAUCCUGAGGAAGCACAACAAACAAAAACACUCUGGAUCAGAACUUCCUGUGCCAGCGUUACAUCAGGGUUUUCUAGCAGCAAGGGCGGGCUCCACAUGGCUGAAGCAGGCAACCAGGAGGUAGGCAGGGCCCGGCCCUGAGGGGCUGAGUUGGGGGAGUCCCAGGUCUCGGGAAGAGUGAUCUCAGGCUGCCCUGCAGGUGUUCCUGGGGGAUCCUGGGACAGCAUCAGGGACGCUGGCCCCCAGUGCUUCCUUCCCAUCUCACAAAUGGGCAUUUGUUCAUCGGCUAAACAACACUUUCUAGACUAUUUGGGGCACUGCACAUGAAGUCUGCAGGGUCGGGGGUUCAUGAUCAGGCUGUCUCUCUCUCACAUAGUUUGGUAAAUACAGGACUGUUCCUAAACAGCAAUGAGACAACCUGGUGCACAGUUCCACAUAUCGAGACCUGUCAUCUUAUUCAGAUCAUAUGGGUGAUACCACAUGCUUCAGAGUGAGGCUGAGCAUGGGUUCCCCUAAACUUACACAGACAAAAUGACUUACAGUGUUUGCCGGCCCUCCGUGCCCUCCAUGCCCUCUCUGAGUCACCAGCAAACAUUCUGUGCCCUGAACUAGAGAAUCAUCACAUUGUCUUUGCCCCAGUUACUUUCCUGGAACAGAUAACAAGCAAACCUCUCUCUGGUUAGUUGCUUCUCGGCUGAAUGGUUAGGGAUCCUGUGCUGAGGUCAGGUCUGCAGGGGUGAGAACCUGAUCCGACAGUGGGACAGCAGGAGGCCAUGGGGGGAUCUGAGGCAGGGAAGGUGCUCAGGAGAGGACCUGAGAAGGAAGAGAUGGCUGUGGUCCUGGAGGCUCAGGGAUCAGGCCUAGGGCCUGUGUUCCUUCGGCCUCAGCAUACCUCUGAAGCGGUAUGCCCAGCUUCUCUGGGCAGGCCCUACAAUGUGUGAGAAACAGCCUCAGAACACCACCUCUUUUCAGGGUAGUUACCCAAAAUACACACGUGGGAGUUUGCCAGAGUUGAGGCAGCUUUUAAAGGUGGAGCUUUUCAAAAAGGGAAACUGGGAGCACUUACAGCCCAGGUCUAUGUUACUGGUAAGAAGUGGUUUGUCUCAGGAAUAAUGUACCCUGUGGAGAGUACUUUGUGUCAGCCUCACUGAGAACAAAAAAAGCACUCCUUUCCCCAUGAUUAACACUCAUGUGUCAGGAAAGUACAGUCAAUGUAUGCUAAAAAUCCACUUGAACAAUUAGCUCGCUUUUUUCCCUCAUUUGCUUUCAGAGUAAAUGUGCUUUCAGAGUAUUAGGUCGGCCUAAUAUAUGAUACAUUUUAAGAAGGGGAGGAAAGCGCAUUGUAUACCCUGAUGCUGGGACCCAAUAGAAGACAGGCCCCCUGGCUGGCCUUUGGUUCUCCCUGGAGCUGACAAAGGGAAGGGGCUUGGAAAGCAGCCACUGUCCCCGCCUAGUUUGGGCCUUUACAGACACACCUUUCCUUUUGGCAGCUGCUAUGGCACGGAUUCUCUAUGCCAGCACGAAGCUGGAAAACCUGCCUACCUGGCUGGUGAAAUGAGGGUGGCAGCUGGAGGAAACAGGCAUCUUAGGAGACUAGAAAUGUCCUUCAAAGGGACUUCAGUGAGUGCUCAGGGGACCAGGGGUGACUGUGUUAAGAAGGGUUAGAGGUUGAGAGGGAGCCAUGAGCUUGGGUCAUCACCCCAGUGAGACCAUCCAGGCACACAGCUCCCAGGCUUGGGAGGCCGCCUCCAGUCCACCAGGACCCUCAGGGAGCUGUGACUUCAUUGAAGCUGGGUCUAAAGGCUUCCUUCAAGGCUCAGCAAACUGGGUUUUCAAAGAUUUUUGAUCCCUGAAGCUAAUUUACACGUUAUGUGGGGCCAUGGCAAAGACUUGGCCCUGAAGUGGACAGAAAGAGGCUGUGCUGAGUGAUGAAUGAGACUAAACAGUGUUCUCAUGCUUGGUGAUUUUGAUGAGAACAUACUACAUAAGAGUUAAGAGCAUUAUAAUUCCCUUUAUCACCAUAUAAACAUGUCACUUAUCCGGAAAGCAUACAAUUUAUUUGUACAUGAGAAUGUAAAUUUAAAAAUUUUCUGAAAACUAGAUUAAAUCUUGAGAAGCAAUUUUCAAGUAAAC